AAACAUCGCCUCUUGCAAACUUAAUAAAUAAGAGGUCCCGCCUGCCCUGUGACUAUUAGUUUAACGGCCGCGGUAUUUUGACCGUGCGAAGGUAGCGCAAUCACUUGUCUUUUAAAUGAAGACCUGUAUGAAUGGCAUAACGAGGGCUUAACUGUCUCCUCUUUCCAGUCAAUGAAGUUGAUCUUCCCGUGCAGAAGCGGGAAUACAAACAUAAGACGAGAAGACCCUAUGAAGCUUUAGACACCAAGGCAGAUCAUGUUAAGUCCCCCAGAAUAAAGGGCUAAACCAGAUGAACCCUCCCCGAAUGUCUUUGGUUGGGGCGACCACGGGGAAUUAAAAAACCCCCACGUGGAAUGGGAGCACCCCCUCCUACAACUAAGAGCCCCAGCUCUAGUAAACAGAAAUUCUGACCAGCAAGAUCCGGCAGUGCCGAUCAACGAACCGAGUUACUCUAGGGAUAACAGCGCAAUCCUCUUUUAGAGCCCAUAUCGACAAGGGGGUUUACGACCUCGAUGUUGGAUCAGGACAUCCUAAUGGUGCAGCCGCUAUUAAGGGUUCGUUUGUUCAACGAUUAAAGUCCUACGUGAUCUG
rnacentral:rRNA from 1 species